rnacentral:lncRNA from 13 species
AUAAAAAUGGUGGUAAAGGACAAUCCGUCUUUUUUCCUGUUUUCAACGGAAAUCCUUUCAGUGUUUUCCUAUGAAGGUUGAUCUUGGCUUGUUGGUUGGGCUGGACAGAGUCUUGCUGAGGAAGCAUCCACCUAGCCAUGUUUAUUUUCUGCUUUAUUAAAAUUAUGUGUUUUGCACAGGCAAUAAAAGUAAAAAUAGACAAGCAGGACUACAUCAAACUGAAAAGCUGCUUCUGCACGGGAAGGGAAGCCAUCAGCAGAGAGAAAAGGCAACCUACAGAAUGGGAGAAAAUAUUUUCAAGUGACAUAUCUGAUAUGAGAUGGUGCUAUCUUGCUGCCAACGAUUCCACGGCAGACCCUCCAGAUGGAGUCUCACUCUGUCACCCUGUCACCCAGGCUGGAGUGCAGUGGUGGGAUCUCUGCUCACUGUAA